GAACGUACCCUGGAGUGGGGGAUAACGUAGCGAAAGUUACGCUAAUACCGCAUACGAUCUAAGGAUGAAAGUGGGGGAUCGCAAGACCUCAUGCUCCUGGAGCGGCCGAUAUCUGAUUAGCUAGUUGGUGGGGUAAAGGCCUACCAAGGCAUCGAUCAGUAGCUGGUCUGAGAGGACGACCAGCCACACUGGAACUGAGACACGGUCCAGACUCCUACGGGAGGCAGCAGUGGGGAAUUUUGGACAAUGGGCGCAAGCCUGAUCCAGCAAUGCCGCGUGAGUGAAGAAGGCCUUCGGGUUGUAAAGCUCUUUUGUCAGGGAAGAAACGGUGGGGGCUAAUAUCCCCUGCUAAUGACGGUACCUGAAGAAUAAGCACCGGCUAACUACGUG
rnacentral:rRNA from 1 species